CACGGGGGGAGCAAGCGUUGUUCGGAAUCACUGGGCGUAAAGGGCGUGUAGGCGGUCAAGUAAGUGGAAUGUGAAAGCCCCCGGCUUACCCGGGGAUCGGCAUCCCAAACUGCUUGGCUUGAGUACGGGAGAGGAUGAGGGAAUUCCUGGUGUAGCGGUGAAAUGCGUAGAUAUCAGGAGGAACACCGGUGGCGAAGGCGGGUCUCUGGGCCGAGUGACUGACGCUGGAGGAGCGAAAGCGUGGGGAGCGAACAGG
rnacentral:rRNA from 1 species